GACGAACGCUGGCGGCGUGCUUAACACAUGCAAGUCGAACGGGCCUUGUCCCCUUUUUUUUUGGGGGUGGGGUUAGUGGCGAACGGGUGAGUAACACGUGAGUAACCUGCCCCUCCCUUCUGGAUAACCGCUUGAAAGGGUGGCUAAUACGGGGUGUUCUGGCCUGCUCGCAUGGGUGGGUUUGGAAAGAUUCGACCGGUUUUGGUUGUUUUGGUGGGGGAUGGGCUCGCGGCCUAUCAGCUUGUUGGUGGGGUGAUGGCCUGCCAAGGCUGUGACGGGUAGCCGGCCUGAGAGGGUGGGCGGUCACACUGGGACUGAGACACGGCCCAGACUCCUACGGGAGGCAGCAGUGGGGAAUAGUGCACAAUGGGCGCAAGCCUGAUGCAGCGACGCCGCGUGAGGGAUGGAGGCCUUCGGGUUGUGAACCUCUUUCGCCAGUGAAGAAGGUCCUGCUCUUUGUGGUGGGGUUGACGGUAGCUGGGUUAAUGAAGCGCCGGCUAACUACGUG
rnacentral:rRNA from 1 species